GACGUGAAACCCGACCGCGCCAAUGGUACUACUGCCUAAGCAGUGGAAGAGUAGGUCGCCGCCAGGC
rnacentral:rRNA from 1 species